rnacentral:rRNA from 1 species
AUUGAACGCUGGCGGCAUGCCUUACACAUGCAAGUCGAACGGUAACAGGUCUUCGGAUGCUGACGAGUGGCGAACGGGUGAGUAAUACAUCGGAACAUGCCUGGUAGUGGGGGAUAACUACUCGAAAGAGUGGCUAAUACCGCAUGAGAUCUACGGAUGAAAGCAGGGGAUCGCAAGACCUUGUGCUACUAGAGCGGCCGAUGGCAGAUUAGGUAGUUGGUGGGAUAAAAGCUUACCAAGCCGACGAUCUGUAGCUGGUCUGAGAGGACGAUCAGCCACACUGGGACUGAGACACGGCCCAGACUCCUACGGGAGGCAGCAGUGGGGAAUUUUGGACAAUGGGCGAAAGCCUGAUCCAGCAAUACCGCGUGCAGGAUGAAGGCCUUCGGGUUGUAAACUGCUUUUGUACGGAACGAAAAGCCCCGGGUUAAUACCCUGGGGUCAUGACGGUACCGUAAGAAUAAGCACCGGCUAACUACGUGCCAGCCGCCGCAGUAA